UAUAACAUUCAUGUUUUUUCUAUUUUGUUUCAUUUUUCUCUCUCUGCAAACUCCUUUUCUUCGUCUUCUACCCACAUCACCACCGCCACAUUCAGGCCACCAAUGGCUUUCUGUGCAGCGACCACCGUAUUUCCACCCCCGUUGAGAUCUACAUCCUCCACCGCCAUAUUCAGAUGCCAUUUCCGGCCACCUUCACUGGAUCGCGAGUAAUAACACCAGAUUUGUACCACUCGUUCUCCCGUCUACAAAAUCCAUAGACUUAUUUCAUGAUCCGAGCAUUUUUUCCGGUUUACUUUCUUCAGUCAGAUUCAUAAGGUAUUUUACGAGGAAGCUGAAGUAGGUGAAGAAGGAUUUGGAUUCAUGUUUUGUCUCAUUUUGCUUAAUUUGCAAAAGAAGAGAAAACCUAAGGAAAAAUUGGAGAAAUCCAAAUCCGGUGAAGAAGAGCAAUGGUCAAGUUCUUGCUAUCAACGAGUGUUUUGUCCACGCGUGUCGUGUGUAUUUGAAGGAAGAGAAGGAAAUGACAUGAUAUAACCACGUGUCAAGUGGAUAUUGGAAGAAGGAUUGGUGUUAGUGACAGAUGCACAUGGGAGAGAGGGAAAAGACUUUGCUUCCCGUGCAGCUUUCUUGGGACGAGAAUUACGGAGACUUUUCAUGGAAUCCAAUGUUUGAUGGGCACACUAGAUUGUGUCUUGGAUUUGAGAAGAGAAUUACGCGGCCAAGAUUGAAAGUUAUUCUGCUGACGCGCUGAAAGUGUCAGACACGUGAGAUCCGUGGAAAAAUAUCCAAUGGCUGUGCAAAAUCCACAAACCAAACUUUAAAGGGUUCAACGUGAAAAAAUAUAAGAUGCUAUGUAUAUUUGUUACACCCACACUUGAACUUGGGUCCGCCCCGUGUGUAAUUGUUGCAGCUAAUGAGUCAUAUGUUGCUCUGCCGGCCUCAUAAUCGGGAAUGGCAAGAUAUGUAAACCCAGCGUUCUUUCCUCAAUGAACAUUGCGUCCUGACGGUCACGUGUCACCAGCUUGGCGGACUCCACUGGUAAAAGACAACAAAAGUUGGUUCGUCCUUCAAAGAACCGAGAAAGAAUGAGCCGUUGGAGGGUGCUCUUAAGACCACAAGCUUUUGGAAAAACCGAAACAAAGAUUCAAAGUGAAAAUAUGGAGCUAUUAGAAAGAAAAAGGUGAACCAAGAGAAAGAUUAAACUCUUGGAUUAUACAUCUAAAUCUAUCACCACAAGUAAGAACACAACUCAUACUCACAAUAUUCCUCUUUUCUCGAACUUUAUAAUUUUGUUAUCAAUAUAUAGUAUUGAUAACUUGAUCGUUAUACACAGAUACCUAAUUAUAUUGCUAUGCUAUGUGCCUAUAUAAUAUAAUUUUUUUUAUUUAACCUUAUUUAUUGUAUACUACCGUCCCAAAAUAUAAGGGAAAAUUGGUCAAACAAAGUUGAUGUGUUUGGUCCAAAUUUAUAACCUAAUACAUAAACUUUUUUUGACCAAUUUUCCCUUAUAUUUUGGGACGGAGGGAGUACAUUGUAUCGGUCCAUUUUAUAUUAUGAGAUGAACCCAUUUUAUGUUGUGUCUGGUUUUGAAGAGAAUGAUUUCUCUAGUUAAGUGCUACAAUGAUUUUGCAUGUUAAGAAGUAUUAAAAGAUGUAUAAUUUUAUAUGAAUUGUAUUGAAACUUGUGCAUUUUAUAUUAAAUGUAUAGUUUUUUAAUAAAUAAUUGUAAUUUUUCAGUAAAAAGUAACUAUUUUAAGUUGGCUUAACAUGUGCAUAAUAUUACACAUGUUAGACAAACACAUUAGUUAAAGGAUAACUUCAUGCACUUAUUCUCUACCAAAAAAAACCUUCAUGUGCUUAUUUUCAAUCUAUAAACCUGGUUUACAAGAAUUAGUUUUUUUGUGCAAAAUCCUAUUUUUAAAUUAUUCAUAAAAGCGCUAGCCAAAAUUAUAUUUGUGUUAAUUUAUACUUGAGUUAAAGUUGUAGCCAAAACAUCACUACCAGGCAGAGUGCAUUUUGCUUACAAAAAAAUGUUGUAGCCAAACAUUAGUUUGCUUAAAAAAAAAGUUGUAGCCAAACCAUCACUACCGGUUGGUAUAAGUUGUAUCCAAACUAUCACCACAAUUGUCUUUAAUGUAGCCAAGUGAUAGAUGAAGUCAUUGCUUUGUAGACCAUUUAAGAUUGUAGGGAACUUGUAUGAGAGUGCAUUUAUUAAAGUUUAAGGAAAAAUUCUUGUUUCAAAUUUUUAUUAUUGAAAAAAAUAUUCACUAAAACAUUCCUAACAUAAAUAUAAAUAUAGUUACCUUUCGUUAGUUGGUUCAAUGACUAUUAGCGCUAAUUUUGGUAGGGAGAAUCACGGUUCGAUCCCCACAAAGGGUUGAAACCACCCUAAAUAAAAAUAUAAGUAGUUAUAUUUAUCAAUGUUAUAAAUAUACUACACUUUUUUAUACAAAGUUAGUUCUUUAGGUUGCUUAAUCAAUACUCGUAAGACACUUGUCAAUAUUCUUAUUAAUUUAUAAUUUAUUGUAGUGCAAUGAAUUGACUACGUGGAGACAAUAAUAUCAUAUAAGUAAACCACUAGGUUAAUUGGUAUAAUGGUGAGAGGUUUGAAUAGAAUACAUGAUGAGUAGAUUGGAUCAUCAUUGCCUCUAUUGUAAACUAAUAAAUAAAUCAAAUAACUGUGUCACAUUGUAUAAAUAUGACCCCACUGCCCCCACAAUAGAUUCGUGCCUGCCUGUUCGGCGAAGGCGGGAUUGAUGUCCCUCAGAUUAGUAGUUCUUAGACCAUAUACUGAGUCUUAAACAUAAUAUCAUAUAAAUGGGUCACGAUAUAUAAAUAUAUAAUAGAAUAAGCAAGUGGAGUUCAGUGCACUAGCAAUAUGUAUGAUGUAGUCUCACUGUGUUCGGUUUGUAUCCUUUCCACUAACAACCUUCCAUCAUUAUUUGAUUCAUAAAAACUCUUCAAUCUUCUUAAGAUUGACGGAAUGGGGCAGAUGAUGGCUAGCAACAUGAUUGGACUUUCCUGACAUAUGAAGCCAAUUGCAAUCGAGGAUUCAAGUUUUUGUUGAAGAAAGUGAAGGUGUGGCGAGCUUGUGAUAAAAUGGCGACAAGCAUCUUCAUUUUUGUCAUUCUAAUUUUUAAUUUUGUAACUGCAUUAGUGGCUUAUGUACUAGAUGUAAACUUAUUGUGAUUCCAAAGAUCGGUGGGCGGAACUGCGAGAGUGGCGUAAUGGCGGACGAAUCGCCCAUAAAAGCCAACAUGAUCUUAAAUUCGUGAGAGUUGUGAGUGAACUUGGCAGCAGUCAAUCGAAUAUUACUUUCAUGUUAUAUGUGGGCAGCACCCCUAUUAGAAAUUAGAUGACCUAGGCAAUCUACAAUAUCAAUCUAAAAACACAUUUAAUGAAUUUGGCAACAAAAUAAAUUGAUAGGUCCAAAAAUGUGGAAAACGAUGUAAUUGAAAUUUUGUCAUUAACAUUUGUUAAUUAAUUUAGUGAUAAGAAUUAAAAAAAAUAUUUAAGAAUUUAAACCAAAACUACAAAAUAAUUGUUUAUAAUACUAAGUUAUAUUUGCAAUGUAAUUAUGUGUUUUUCUUCACAAAAUAGUUGCAUUAGAAAGUAAAUAACGUAUAAAGAAAUGAUAAUUUUAAUUUUGCUACUACGUAGUGUUUUUUACAAUUAAACUUCAAAAUUAAUGUCUCCAUUUUUUUACUGUGAAGUGGGUUUAUUAAAAGCCCAAACACUGUUUGUCAAAAACAAAAAGCCCAAACACUGAAAAUGUGCUAUAAAAUAGGGAGUCUCUGAAUUAGGGUUUAGGGUUUGUUUUUACUUUUGUUCUGCCGCAUAACAUUUCUAAAUCCAUUUGACCUUCGAUUCACAUUUUGUCAAGAUGGGAUUCAAGACCAAAGAAAAAGCCAAAGCCAAAGCUAAAGCUGGUCCGUCCACCGCCCAUGCUGCAGCUGCUGCAGCCGUUGCUCCACCUGAAGUAGCUGCCGGUAACCCUGCUGCAGCCGUUGCCCCUGCUGCAGCCCUUGCUCCACCUGCAGUAGCUG